rnacentral:rRNA from 1 species
UAAUUGAAGAGUUUGAUCAUGGCUCAGAUUGAACGCUGGCGGCAGGCCUAACACAUGCAAGUCGAGCGGUAACAGGGGAAGCUUGCUUCUCGCUGACGAGCGGCGGACGGGUGAGUAAUGUAUGGGGAUCUGCCCGAUAGAGGGGGAUAACUACUGGAAACGGUAGCUAAU